CCUACGGGUGGCAGCAGUGGGGAAUAUUGGACAAUGGGCGAAAGCCUGAUCCAGCCAUGCCGCGUGUGUGAAGAAGGCCUUCGGGUUGUAAAGCACUUUCAGUGGGGAAGAAAGCCUUGGGGCUAAUACCCUCGAGGAAGGACAUCACCCACAGAAGAAGCACCGGCUAACUCCGUGCCAGCAGCCGCGGUAAUACGGAGGGUGCGAGCGUUAAUCGGAAUUACUGGGCGUAAAGCGCGCGUAGGCGGUCUGAUAAGCCGGUUGUGAAAGCCCCGGGCUCAACCUGGGAACGGCAUCCGGAACUGUCAGGCUAGAGUGCUGGAGAGGAAGGUAGAAUUCCCGGUGUAGCGGUGAAAUGCGUAGAGAUCGGGAGGAAUACCAGUGGCGAAGGCGGCCUUCUGGACUGCCACUGACGCUGAGGUGCGAAAGCGUGGGUAGCAAACAGGAUUAGAUACCCUGGUAGUC
rnacentral:rRNA from 1 species